rnacentral:tRNA from 1 species
GCGCCAAUAGCUCAACUGGCAGAGCAGCUGACUCUUAAUCAGCGGGUUCGGGGUUCGAGUCCCUGUUGGCGCACAA